rnacentral:lncRNA from 1 species
AAAUAUUUGAAUAACUAUCCAUCCAUUGAUUUUAAACCAAUGUUUCCAUCAUGCGUCAUAGACGUCCGCCACCAUAGGUGAAUAUUUUGGGACUAAACUUUCAAUCUUACUCAUUACUUUGUGUUUAUUUUUAAAAUUUACGGUUUUAUUCAAAUUACUAUAAUCUCUGAAACAGAGUAUCCACUAUAAAAAAUUUGCAUAAUCAGCGACCUCAAAAAUGGCGAAGACACAAAACGCUAAAAUCUCUCUCUCUCUCUAUUAUGGAGGUUAUAGUUGACCUUUGUCCUCCGAUCUGCUUGGUGGGUUUUUCUACUUUCAGAUAUAUAAAGUAUUCGUUAGUAGAAGAAAGUAUGACCAUCAUGCUGGAAACGACAUUCUCAUUUCAACGAAUUUUCACCCUGCCACUGCCUACAAUUGCCUCAAAAUCCAUUGCCCCCAAUAGGUUACAUACUGAAAAUAGUAUCUGGAGUGUACUCCACUCGACUCUGAGAGAGAGAGGGAGUCAGAGAGAGUCGAGUGGGGGUACAUUCCAGAUUUUUUAGUGGGGUUGCUUUAACGUAUAAAAUCUAAAUUUAAUUAAUUAAUUUGGUUG